AACAGCGUGGCUCAGUAGAAAGAGCCCGGGCUUGGGAGUCGGAGAUCUGGGUUUGAAUCCCAGCUCUGCCA
rnacentral:tRNA from 1 species